UACAGAGGGUGCGAGCGUUAAUCGGAAUUACUGGGCGUAAAGCGUGCGUAGACGGUUAUUUAAGUCGGAUGUGAAAGCCCCGGGCUCAACCUGGGAAUUGCAUUCGAGACUGAAUAGCUAGGGUGCGGUAGAGGGAAGCGGAAUUUCCGGUGUAGCGGUGAAAUGCGUAGAUACCGGAAGGAACAUCAGUGGCGAAAGCGGCUUCCUGGACCAGCACCGACGUUCAGGCACGAAAGCGUGGGGAGCAAACAGG
rnacentral:rRNA from 1 species